UACGGGGGGGGCAAGCGUUGUUCGGAAUUACUGGGCGUAAAGGGCUCGUAGGUGGCCAACUAAGUCAGACGUGAAAUCCCUCGGCUUAACCGGGGAACUGCGUCUGAUACUGGAUGGCUUGAGUUUGGGAGAGGGAUGCGGAAUUCCAGGCGUAGCGGUGAAAUGCGUAGAUAUCUGGAGGAACACCGGUGGCGAAGGCGGCAUCCUGGACCAACACUGACACUGAGGAGCGAAAGCCAGGGGAGCAAACGGG
rnacentral:rRNA from 1 species